rnacentral:rRNA from 1 species
AGGCGCUCUGCUGGACCAUAACUGACACUCAGGGACGAAAGCUAGGGGAGCGAAUGGGAUUAGAUACCCCAGUAGUCCUAGCCGUAAACGAUGGAUACUAGGUGUUGUCUGUAUCGACCCGGACAGUGCCGUAGCUAACGCGUUAAGUAUCCCGCCUGGGGAGUACGCACGCAAGUGUGAAACUCAAAGGAAUUGACGGGGCCCGCACAAGCGGUGGAGUAUGUGGUUUAAUUCGAUGCAACGCGAAGAACCUUACCAGGACUUGACAUAUCUAGAAUCCUGCAGAGAUGCGGGAGUGCCUUCGGGAAUUAGAAUACAGGUGCUGCAUGGCUGUCGUCAGCUCGUGUCGUGAGAUGUUGGGUUAAGUCCCGCAACGAGCGCAACCCUUGUCCUUAGUUA